rnacentral:rRNA from 1 species
UGGGGAAUUUUGGACAAUGGGCGAAAGCCUGAUCCAGCAAUGCCGCGUGUGUGAAGAAGGCCUUCGGGUUGUAAAGCACUUUUGUCCGGAAAGAAAUCCUUGGCUCUAAUACAGUCGGGGGAUGACGGUACCGGAAGAAUAAGCACCGGCUAACUACGUGCCAGCAGCCGCGGUAAUACGUAGGGUGCAAGCGUUAAUCGGAAUUACUGGGCGUAAAGCGUGCGCAGGCGGUUUGCUAAGACCGAUGUGAAAUCCCCGGGCUCAACCUGGGAACUGCAUUGGUGACUGGGCAGGCUAGAGUAUGGCAGAGGGGGGUAGAAUUCCACGUGUAGCAGUGAAAUGCGUAGAGAUGUGGAGGAAUACCGAUGGCGAAGGCAGCCCCCUGGGCCAAUACUGACGCUCAUGCACGAAAGCGUGGGGAGCAAACAGGAUUAGAUACCCUGGUAGUCCACGCCCUAAAACGAUGUCAACUAGUUAUUGGGGAUUCAUUUCCUUAGUAACGUAGCUAACGCGUGAAGUUGACCGCCUGGGGAGUACGGUCGCAAGAUUAAAACUCAAAUGGAAUUGACGGGGUCAUAGCUGUUUCCU